rnacentral:tRNA from 1 species
AUUUAAAUAGUUUAAAAAAAAUUUUGGUUUGUGGAACCAAAGAUAUACUUAGUAUUUUAAAUU